ACUCGGAGCCCCAGGAUGACAGUUCAGGAAAGUGAGCAUAGCUAAAUAAAUGUAUUAACAGUAUGAGAAAGUCUGUUCAAAGUCCUUUCCUUAGUGUCAAUUUUUGUGAAGCAAGAAUAGGCGUUGGCCAUUGAGUGACCACACUGCAUCACAGGUGCUGUUUGUACGCAGUAAGAACGAGAUGAAUACGAAGAUCCUAGCGUAGCAGCCACCUCUGCUGGGACUGACCGGGAGUCAUCUCACAGCUGUGGAUGUAAAUAUCGAGUCAGGAAGAUGAAGAGCUUCUAAAUAAAGAACUCAACCAGCAGAUCAGUGAAUUCCAGUUUUUAUCCAUUCUCGUACAUGUUAUUAAUUGCACGUGGGGAGCACACGUGCCCCAGCACACACGUGGAGGUCAGAGGGCAACUUGUGAGCGUUGCUUUUCUCUUUGCACCACGUGGGGCCUAGAGAUUUAAUUCGGGUCACCAGGUGAUUGCCAAGUGCUUUGCCCACAGCGUCACCCUGUCAACCCACCAGUUUCCAUUGUUAUAAGUUGAAAAGGCCGCUUGUGAAAGCAACCGUGGUUCUCAGGAAAGGACACACCAAGUUCGAUGCAGUUGCUGUGUCUGUAAUGCAAACACAUGCAGUUUAGGUUGAAUGUGUAGUAAAGUGUAGAGACACUAAUGAUGGUUUGUUUUUUAGCACGUGUCAAGUCCCCGCUGUCUCCCAUGUGUUCUGUCUAUAGUAACUGACUGAGUCCUUGCAGCCACCCUAUGGAGAAGGAGGAAUGGCAGGUCCGUUUUCGUAGCUGAGGAGACUGGGGCAUGGAAAGAUUCGAGACUCUUUCAAGGCCAUGAUAUGGGGCCGAACCGGUUUCCACAUCAGUCUGCCUGAUUCUAGAGUGUGUAAUCUAUGAAGGUUAAAAGCCUUUGUGAUUAUGCUUAGUAAACCGCAGCUCACUGUCCUAAUUUGCCUUGGACUCGUGUGUUUGUGAAUGCGCUUAACUGAACAAUGAAGAGGAAAAAGACCCCCGAAGCCCAAUCCUGGCUCCCCAUAUCCACAUAACUGAACCAUGAGGGAAAUGAGGACCCCUGAAACAGACCCUGCUCCCCAAAUCCACAUAACUGAACCAUGAGGGAAAUGAGGACCCCUGAAACAGCCCCUGCUCCCCAGAAUCCAUGUAACUGAACCAUGAGAAAAUGAAGACCCCUGACACCCCCAGCUACAUCCGGGUUGGGACUUUGCUUUUCAGCCUCUUCACUUUGCUGCUUCCACGGCCUCCACCGCUCCCUUUGUGGAGAUGCUGCUGUGGGGGGCUUUAGAUGCAUCUACCCUAAUGUUCCAACUCUGAUUACAAGUGAGAUACCUGCCCAUAAUUCCCUGAGUUCAGCUGAAAUCACGUAGUGACCUUCACAGGCCCGGCAACAAUGCUAACGUCUCCAGCAGAAGCAGAUGUAACUUGAAUCAUUUUGCUGUGUUCAGCAUCAAAAACAAACAGAAACACACGCCUUUGGCUCCCCAGAGGUACCCUUCCCUGAGUCCAGUGAUGGUGUAUAAUGCUGUCCACAUCUUGCCUAUUUGUAUUUAUGGACCAGUUUACAGGUAUUUUUCCUGCCAAGAUGAAAAUAUUCCAAAACACGAACUGUCAUGCUCCUUGGCACCGAGGUUCUGGCACAUUCCACACAUCCAACAAAUGCUUGCUCUCUGAACAGAUGGCUGAAUAAAUAGGUCACAGAAAGGAAUAGCUUUCUGCAAGUUCUCUUUGGACUCCACCAUUUUAUGAUGAUGGAGAAACGUUCAAGGACACAUGUGCUUUAAGUACCGAAUGUGAGGUCAACAGUCAGAAACUGGAGCUCGGAGCUACAGCAGCUUAUCCCCAGUGAAGAAUUCCAAGUUGAAACUGUAAUUCAAGAUAGAUCUUAAAGAGAAGCAUCGUUGAAAGACAGAAGCAAAGCAUGAGCCUUGAAGGACGCACACGAGGCACGAGAACCUUCUUCAGCUAAGGAGAGCAGAGCGGGGCUCGGGGAAGCAAUUCUGCAGCGUACUGGAAACGGAGAAGAAAGUGCAUUUUUAAAAGGUAUAAAAGUACAAGGCUCUCACUGCAGAAUCAGGCUCUCUGAGUAUGUCCUGUUUGGUGACACCAGAUUCAUGAGGCCUUCUUUGCUCAAAUAGAGUAACAAGUUAACACAGAAAGGCACUGUUGGUACUUGGAUGCAGACUAGGAAAUGAGCCACAGUCUUUUCACAGAAUUAGGAGGAAGCUGAAUUCGUGGACAACGCUGUUGUCUUCAUCCUCAGACUCUGAACUGCCCUUUGAACGGUCUUUUGAACUCUCUUCAAAAUUCUUUUCUUUUGAACCUGACUGUUUCAAAUAAGACCACAUCUGUGAUGUUGAAAUGAAAAAUGUCCCCAGAGGCCUAGGUGUUUGAACGGUCUCCAGGUGGUGGAGCUGUUUGCAGAGGUUGUGAUAGCUGUUGGAGCCUUGCUGGAAGUGUGGCAGAUGUUGAUUCCACUUCCUGCCCUUCCUCUCUGCUGCCUGUGUGUUCAGGACAUGUGAUCAGCCAGCUUCCUGCUCCUGCCUCCUUCCUUUCCCGAACACUGCCGUGUCUCCCCUGCCGUGCCGGACUCCAUCCUCCCGAAUCCACAAACCAAGCAGAUGAGUUUUCCUGAAGUUGCUUCUUCCAUAGUAUUGUAUCACAGCAACAGAAAAGAACUAAUAGCAAAUCCAUUCCUAUAAACUGAUCGAUGAAGAUAUGCCUAAAUCCUAACUGUUUAUGGGACUGGUUUUUUUGUUUGUUUCGUUUUGUUUAAAUGUGUUUUGAAGACUGGGAUGUAGCUCCAUGAUAGAAGUGCGUGGCUAGCAUAUGCAGUGGCCUGGCUUCAAUCCCCAGCCCUACCAUCCAAACAGAACAAAACAGAAAUGUUGAUUAUAAAACUACGAGAAGAAGAGAACUGGAGCUGGUAAUGCUUGGCUGACGGGAUGUAAGACAAGAGAUGGGACCCCAUCAGGCUUUGGCUUCUGCCCAUCAAAGCAAACAAUCAGAGAAAAGGCAACUCCCAGGGUAGACAAAACCGCUGCCACUCCUGGCAGGUGAGGGGUUAAUUCCAGAGAAAGAACCAUUCCAACUAAAACAACCAACAUAUAAUCCAACUUUAUUAUAGGUAAUGGAUCUUGAGAGGAUGCUCAGCAUCUCUAGUCACUAUUGAGAAAUACAAACAGAACCACAGUCACCUCAUACAUUAAGACCCCCACUAUCCACAAAAGCAGAAAAUGGGAUCAGUAAGGAUAUGGAGGAACUAGAUCCCACAUACAACAUUAGCAAAAUAGUACAAAUGUUACUGAAUAUACUCUGUAAGUCCCUCAAAUAAUAGAAGCAUCCUAUCAGCCAAAAAUCCUGCUUCCAAGCAUAUAGCCAAAGGAAUCAAAAGUUGGGCCUUGAAGAAGUAUUAGCACAGUUCUGUUCAUUUCAGUAUUAUGUACAAUAGGCAAGAGAUGGAAAUGGGUCAUUUCCAUUGACAGAUGGCAGAAUAAAGAAAAUAUUGCUCUACCUAUAAUACAAGAUUGGCCUUUAGAAAUAAAGAAACCACAUCACAUGCUCAACAGGGAUGACCUUGAUGUUAUGUUGCAAUUGCAAUCAACCAGUUACAAAUGGUGUAUGUUUUUGCUUACCUGAGUCAAAAUCAUGGAAAAGAAAGCUCAAAGUCUGUGUGUGUGUGUGUGUGUGUGUGUGUGUGUGUGUGUGUGUGUGUGUGUGUAUUAGGGGCUGAAAGGGUAGGGAAUUGCUGUGAAUAGAAUUUUAGUUUUUCAAGAUAAAAAAGUCCUGAAGAUAAGUUACACUGCAAUCUGAAUGUAGUCUAACUACUUAAACUGUAUGCUUAAAACUGUCUGAAAGGGUAUACCUUUAUAAU